rnacentral:rRNA from 1 species
CCUACGGGAGGCAGCAGUGGGGAAUAUUGCGCAAUGGGGGAAACCCUGACGCAGCGACGCCGCGUGAGCGAAGAAGGCCUUAGGGUCGUAAAGCUCUGUUUUAAGGGACGAAGUCUUAAGGGGGUAAGAUACCCUUAAGGUGACGGUACCUUAAGAGAAAGCCCCGGCUAACUACGUGCCAGCAGCCGCGGUAAGACGUAGGGGGCGAGCGUUGUCCGGAAUUACUGGGCGUAAAGAGCACGUAGGCGGAUAAUUAAGUCAGGUGUGAAAGACCGCAGCCUAACUGCGGGGUUGCACUUGAGACUGGUUAUCUUGAGGGCAGGAGAGGUCAGUAGAAUUCCUGGUGUAGCGGUGAAAUGCGUAGAAAUCAGGAGGAAUACCAGUGGCGAAGGCGGCUGACUGGACUGACCCUGACGCUGAGGUGCGAAAGCGUGGGUAGCAAACAGGAUUAGAUACCCGUGUAGUC